GAUGAACGCUGGCGGCGUGCUUAACACAUGCGAGUUGAACGGUGAAGGCGGAGCUUGCUCUGCUGGAUCAGUGGCGAACGGGUGAGUAACACGUGAGCAAUCUGCCCCUGACUCUGGGAUAAGCGCUGGAAACGGCGUCUAAUACUGGAUACGAGCUGCGAAGGCAUCUUCAGCAGCUGGAAAGAACUUCGGUCAGGGAUGAGCUCGCGGCCUAUCAGCUUGUUGGUGAGGUAACGGCUCACCAAGGCGUCGACGGGUAGCCGGCCUGAGAGGGUGACCGGCCACACUGGGACUGAGACACGGCCCAGACUCCUACGGGAGGCAGCAGUGGGGAAUAUUGCACAAUGGGCGAAAGCCUGAUGCAGCAACGCCGCGUGAGGGACGACGGCCUUCGGGUUGUAAACCUCUUUUAGCAGGGAAGAAGCGAAAGUGACGGUACCUGCAGAAAAAGCGCCGGCUAACUACGUG
rnacentral:rRNA from 1 species